rnacentral:rRNA from 1 species
GAGAAAGUCAUGCUUGUUGAGUCCCUUGCGUUCAAUUUACUUUCCGUUCGUCAACUUGCACUCAUGGGCUUUGCCACCUUCUUUGAUAUUGAUACCGUGGCCCUCUUGUGGAGCAAGACUAUUAAAGUAGCCUUUGUUGGGCAUGUCAAGAACGGUCUCUAUGUGAUUAACUUUUCGGAGCAACCCACUAAGACCGCGACAUGCCUAAUGGCUAAAGCUGAUGUGGGAUGGCUUUGGCAUCACCAUUUAGCCCACGUCAAUAUGAGAUCUUUGCAAAGUCUUCUCAAGGGGGACCAUGUCUGUGGACUAACAAAUGUUAGUUUUGCC